GAUGAACGCUGGCGGCGUGCCUAAUACAUGCAAGUCGAGCGAACAGACGAGGAGCUUGCUCCUCUGACGUUAGCGGCGGACGGGUGAGUAACACGUGGAUAACCUACCUAUAAGACUGGGAUAACUUCGGGAAACCGGAGCUAAUACCGGAUAACAUGCUGAACCGCAUGGUUCAACAGUGAAAGACGGUCUUGCUGUCACUUAUAGAUGGAUCCGCGCCGCAUUAGCUAGUUGGUAAGGUAACGGCUUACCAAGGCAACGAUGCGUAGCCGACCUGAGAGGGUGAUCGGCCACACUGGAACGGAGACACGGUCCAGACUCCUGCGGGAGGCAGCAGUAGGGAAUCGGCCGCAAUGGGCGAAAGCCUGACGGAGCAACGCCGCGUGAGUGAAGAAGGUCUUCGGAUCGUAAAACUCUGUUAUUAGGGAAGAACAAAUGUGUAAGUAACUAUGCACGUCUUGACGGUACCUAAUCAGAAAGCCACGGCUAACUACGUG
rnacentral:rRNA from 1 species